rnacentral:rRNA from 1 species
GGGUCAUUAGGUUGGUCGUGCCACCGGUACGUACUGGUCUCACUGAUUCCUCCUUCCUGAAGAACCGUAAUGCCAUUAAUUUGGUGUUGCGGGGAAACAGGACUGUUACUUUGAAGAAAUUAGAGUGUUUAAAGCAAGCUAACGCUUGAAUACAUUAGCAUGGAAUAAUGAAAUAGGACGAUCGAUCCUAUUUUGUUGGUUUCUAGGAUUGACGUA